GUGCAGAGAUCUCUUAUGGUUGGUUAAUAUUUAUCGCUUCUCAUUGGCAGGGGCGGGGAGGAAUGAAGCAAACGUGCAAGCUCUGAGCUGCAGACAAAAAUGUGCACGCAGUCCAUGUUUGUACGGUUACAUGCUGGCAUAUGCAAGUUUGGAGCAGUGCUUUCAAGGAGGUUAAAAAUACCUGGAGCUGCAAGUCUGGCCUAUUUACUACAGAAUUCAUGAGUCAUCCACUAUACUGAAGUCUUGAAAUAUCACAGAGUCUUUCAGACGAAAUCUCAAUGUGGAAGGCAGCAAUGGGAUACGCAGACUUUGACUCCAUGAUGUAGCUGUUGCUGAAGGCUUGGCCCAUGAAUGUGAAUGGGAAUAUGAUCAAAUGCAGCUUGCUAUUGCAGGAGUAACACGACUUCUCUGUAAACUGGCCUCUCAACUGUACAGGAUUUGCACUGAAGGCACCCAGUCUACCGUGUUUGUGGCACAAAACUGUCAUAAAAGUCCAUCACCCUUAAAAAUAUUAGAAAUCCAAGGGAAGCACUUCUGGUAGCAGAUCACACAUUCAGAAGAUAA
rnacentral:lncRNA from 1 species